AUGCGUAGCCGACCUGAGAGGGUGAUCGGCCACACUGGUACUGAGACACGGCCCAGACUCCUACGGGAGGCAGCAGUAGGGAAUCUUCCGCAAUGGACGAAAGUCUGACGGAGCAACGCCGCGUGAGUGAUGAAGGUUUUCGGAUCGUAAAGCUCUGUUGUUAGGGAAGAACAAGUGCAAGAGUAACUGCUUGCAUCUUGACGGUACCUAACCAGAAAGCCACGGCUAACUACGUGCCAGCAGCCGCGGUAAUACGUAGGUGGCAAGCGUUGUCCGGAAUUAUUGGGCGUAAAGGGCUCGCAGGCGGUUUCUUAAGUCUGAUGUGAAAGCCCCCGGCUCAACCGGGGAGGGUCAUUGGAAACUGGGAAACUUGAGUGCAGAAGAGGAGAGUGGAAUUCCACGUGUAGCGGUGAAAUGCGUAGAGAUGUGGAGGAACACCAGUGGCGAAGGCGACUCUCUGGUCUGUAACUGACGCUGAGGAGCGAAAGCGUGGGGAGCGA
rnacentral:rRNA from 2 species